CAGCACCCCAAGUGGUCAGGAUGAUUAUUGGGCCUAAAGCAUCCGUAGCCUGCUUUGUUAGUUUUCGGUUAAAUCCAUACGCUCAACGUAUGGGCUGCCGGGAAUACUGCAAAGCUAGGGAGUGGGAGAGGUAGACGGUACUCGGUAGGAAGGGGUAAAAUCCUUUGAUCUAUUGAUGACCACCUGUGGCGAAGGCGGUCUACCAGAACACGUCCGACGGUGAGUGAUGAAAGCUGGGGGAGCAAACCGGAUUAGAUACCCGUGUAGUCC
rnacentral:rRNA from 1 species